AAAGACCGCAGUUUUGCAUUGUUUUUGUCCAACGUUUGACCGUCCGUCUUAUUUGAAAUUUUUUUAUCAUUAGUAUUUUUCUUGUUAUUAGAUGAUAAAAUAUAAAUAGUACUUUAUAUGCGACUAACUUUUCAAAAUUUGUUUAUAAUUUUUUCAAAUAAAACGGACGUCAAACGUUGGACACGGAAACGUACAACUGCAUUUAAA
rfam:Oryza meridionalis cultivar OR44 (W2112) chromosome 7, whole genome shotgun sequence.